GCCAGCAGCCGCGGUAAGACGUAGGACGCAAGCGUUAUCCGGAUUUACUGGGCGUAAAGCGCGUGUAGGUGGUUUGGUAAGUAGGGCGUGAAAGCUCCUGGCUCAACUAGGAAAGGUCGUUCUAAACUGCCAAACUUGAGGAUGGUAAAGGGGGGUGGAAUUCCGGGUGUAGUAGUGAAAUGCGCAAAUAUUCGGAGGAACACCAGUGGCGAAAGCGGCCUCCUGGACCACACCUGACACUCAAACGCGAAAGCUAGGGUAGCAAACGGGAUUAGAGACCCCGGUAGUCCUAGCCGUAAACGAUGUAGACUUGACGUUGGUGGUUUAAUAUCCAUCAGUGUCGUAGCUAACGCGAUAAGUCUACCCCCUGGGGACUACGGCCGCAAGGUUAAAACUCAAAGGAAUUGACGGGGCCC
rnacentral:rRNA from 1 species